rnacentral:tRNA from 1 species
GGGAUUGUGGCUCAGCAGUAGAGUGCUCACCUAGUAUGUAAGAGGCACUGGGUUUGAUCCCCAGCACCA